rnacentral:rRNA from 1 species
GACGAACGCUGGCGGCGUGCUUAACACAUGCAAGUCGAGCGGUAAGGCCCUUUCGGGGGUACACGAGCGGCGAACGGGUGAGUAACACGUGGGUGACCUGCCCUCAGCUCUGGGAUAAGCCUGGGAAACUGGGUCUAAUACCGGAUAUGACUCCAUGACGCAUGUUGUGGGGUGGAAAGCCUUGUGCGGCUGAGGAUGGGCCCGCGGCCUAUCAGCUUGUUGGUGGGGUGAGGCCUACCAAGGCGACGACGGGUAGCCGGCCUGAGAGGGCGACCGGCCACACUGGGACUGAGACACGGCCCAGACUCCUACGGGAGGCAGCAGUGGGGAAUCUUGCGCCAAUGGGCGAAAGCCUGACGCAGCG